rnacentral:lncRNA from 1 species
AAUUUUAUAAAAAAAAAAAAGAGAGAGAUAAGGCUUAGAUGAGGAAAGAGUAGAUAAAGGAAAAAAAAAAGAAAAAGAGGAGAAGGAGAGGAACGUGAGAAAGUCGAGAGAGAGAAAGGAGAAGAGAGGCUUCGGCAGCCAUGGAAGGGAGGGGAGAUGGAAGAUCCACCAUGAAGAAGAAGAUGAAGAAGAAGGUAUAUAAUUACUUUCCUAAGCUUUUCUCUAAUUAUUUCUAUGAAAUUUUUAUGAAAGGGUUUUUUUGAUUUGGGUGUAUAAAACCCAAAGAUAUAUGUGAUUUAUAUAGAUUCAUGUAUGGAUUUAGCUAUUUUGGGUGUUGAUUUGGUUUGAAACCAAAAGAAGAGAAAAAUAAAUUUUUUCUAGUUUAGAAAACCCAAAAUUUCUAUGUAUUUUGAAAAUCCACCAUUUUAAGUCUAUGCAUUAUUUUUGUGAUCCGUCAAAAAGUAGUGCUAGAUAUAUGUGUUGGCUAGUAAACCCAAGUGGUAGAUCUCAAAAAUGUUCAGUUUACAUGGGGUAGUGACUGAUUUUGUGAAAACAGUCCCGUUUUCAUGGACUGUUUCGGAUCAGUCAAUGGCAGGGACAAUUUCGUCCAUAUUUUUGUGCUUUAAAAAUUCUGGGCUUUUGAUAUGUUGUAGUACUCUGAUUUAGCUUUCCAUAGACUCCGGAACGGACUAAUUCCGACUCCGGAUGAGGUAGUUAUGGCGUUCGGGAGAUGUGUAUCAAAACUGUUAAUCAAAUUCCGAACAGCCACCUUUGUGUAAAUUUCUGGACUGAUGUGUUAUGAUUUUGGAAAAAUGUCGUGAGACAAAAGUUGUAGCCCUGGAAGUUAUCUUCGCGUGGGCUCAAGAAUCGCUCAAAAAUGUUUUAAAACGCGAGAGUUAUGGCCGUUUUAGCGAGGCUGGGUAAAAUUUUCGAAAAUCAAAAGUGUCCAAAAAUAGGAAUAAUGUGAUUUAUAGCGUGAGACCCUUUGAGCAUGUCUUGUGCAUAUUUUGAUGAAGCUUUGGGUCGGGUAUAUAAUGUUAUGAUGUUUAUGACAUUUUAUAAUGUUUAAACAAGUUUAUUAAUUACGGAAAAGGAAAACAAUUGAAAACAAUUGUUUAUUAACGGGUUUAAUGAUUUGAGUUAUUUUUAUAUGACUAAUAGUAUUGUAUUGAGAUAUUAUUAGUAGUAUUUGAGGGAAAUGUUAUUAAAAGGUUAGUAACCUUAGUAUAAAAUAUUAUUGCAUAUUAAUAAUAUUCGACGGGAGAUUAAAAGAAGAGAUUUAUGUUAUUUCUCAACAUAAUUGAAUCUACAAGCUAAAAGCUAAGCUUGGGGCUGUAGAGCCAAGUUUGGGUUGCUAUUAUUUUAUGGGGCUGUUUAGUAUUGCUUGGAAAUAUGAUGGGUUAAAAUAAUAAUAAUAAUAAUAAUAAUAAUAAUAAUAAUAAUAAUAAUAAUAAUAAUAAUAAUAAUAAUAAAAUUGAUUGUGUGGUCAAUGAGAAUAUUUAAAAUAUAACUGUACAAGUUAUAUGGCAUGUUUGUGUGGUUAAUACGUUCAUAUAUAGUGAAAAUACAACUUUGCAAAAAGAAAAGUAAAGCGAAAGUGUUAGCGGGAUAAAAUACAAUAAUUCGAGUUGACUCAUAAACAGGUAAAAUAAUAAUAUAAAAAUUAUUUAUAUUAAGGGAAUAGUAUAGUAAAUUGAAUUUUACUAUAAAAGCUAUUUAUUAGCUGUUUAAGUCCUGAAUUAAUGAGUUAAGACAUAAGAUAUUCCUAAAGCGGAAUAUAAAUGAUUGAAUCUUCAAAGUGUAAAAUAUUUAUAUACUCAAAUGUGAGGGACCUUUAUUUGGUUUAGAAAGGUCAAAAGGAAUUAAGUUUCUAAAUAAACUAAUAUUCGUUUUGAGUAAGAAUAAGUAAUAUUAGUUUGUAUAAAACUAAUAAUUGUUAUUGAUGAAUAUACAUGCAUGUUUUGUAACAUAUUCGAUUAUCUAAUAUGUGUGUGCAUGUAAAUAUAAUUCUGUAGGAAUUGUGGAGAAACUCUAAGUUAAAUUUUGUGGUAAUCUCCAAUCAAGGCAAGUUUUUCGGUUCUAUGAUGUUUGUGGAUUAAAUGUGAUUAUGUGAUGAGUUACAUACCAUGCUUUAUGAAUUGUUAAAGUCAAAAUAUGACUAAAUUAAUUGGGUUAUGGAACUCAAUUUAUAUGUGAUAUGUGAAACAUGAUAGACUGUUAAAUUUGCUGGGCUGUCGAGCUCAAUCUUGCAAACACAAACUUUUUGCAGGUUAAUGAUGUUAGGCAAUAUUACUUGCUAUACGGAUGAUGAAGAUUGAUCGAUGUGCAAAAAUGAAUAUAUUUCCUUGAAUUAGAAAUGGUAUAAAUCUAUGAUUGAUAGUUGUGUCAAAUGUAAUUGGCAGUUAUGUAUAGUUUGAAAUGUUAAAUGGAUAAAGAAUGUUUAUUCUGAAAUGAGAGUAGAUAUGACUCUAAAAUGAAUGAAUCAUCAAUAUAAAAGAUAUGAAGUAUUGAGACUUAAGCCUUUAAUACGUUUACACGGAUUAUGCAAAUCAUAUAAUAAAUAUGAUUUUAGUAUAAGAAAGAAUUGUAAAGGUUGCGGUUCAGGGAAUGGAU